rnacentral:lncRNA from 1 species
CCCCUCCUUCUCACACCCUUUUCCUUCUUCAUCUUCAAAUGCUCAAUUUCUAAUUGUUUUUUCCUCCUCUUUAGUGUUACCUAGACAGAAAACACAGUAGUCAAGUAUCUAGGCAAAAGUCCACCAGAUAAGUUUUAGAAUAUGGAUGUAAGGACAUGACAUGUCCCCGAAUUAUUUUUGUUAUUCCUGAAAAACUAAAAUUGGAUAGAAUUAUUGUUCUUAAAAGAUGGGCUUUAUUCUCAAUCUUUUGAGCUGAAACCUCUAAAACUGACUAAAGAUAAAAAUGUGGUAGAAACGCCGAAGUUGUGAUAAUGCUACUUGGAAGUUCCUUCUCUCUCGAGAGUUUCUGGAGAGAAGCUUUGGUGAUUUUUUACCUUGCCUCCCCCUCUCUUCUCUUAUCCUUUUCUUGGUAGAUGGAGCCAUUUGCCUUUCUUUUAUAUGCAUUAAGCCUCUAAGCAGGUGUUUAUGAUCGUCGAUGCCAAGGAUAUCAACAUUGAUGAGAGACACAACAACACGAUUAUUCAACCCCCUCAAUGGCAAGUUCUAGCUAAAGAGCAGAUGGAGCCUUGUUGACAAAGCUUGAGUAAGUGACAGUCCCUGUGAAAGUGGACCGGUGGAGAGCGACUGAUCUCAACAGUGGCUGAGGGAUUGACCAAUCAAGUAGCUUCAGUGCCCUACGAGAAUGCUUGUGUUGUGGCAGGGAUUGGUUUGACGAGGUUGUGUUUGGGGAAGAUGGGUUGUUGGCAAGUAACAGUCAGUAAAAGCACGGCACCAAUGGCAGGGUAAGUGGCACUUUAGUGAGCCUCAAGGUGGUUGAAUGCACCAUGCCGGUAGGGUAUUCGGAAAAAAGCACCAACAAACAGUCAUAAGGAGGUGGUCAGAACAAUAAUGAGUUCCCCCACGCAACACAGAGUAUCGAAGAGACAAGUAUAGCCAUGCAAAGCUAAUGGGUCAUUGAGUUUGGCUUAUGGUUGUUUAGGUGAUGGAGAUCUAGUCCCUCAUCAGUAGAGGUAGUGGAGGAGGUGGCCAGGGAGUAAUAGUCCCAAAGAUGGUCUCGAACACAAUGAAGAAACAUGGAGAUGCAGUCCCCUCAUGUGGUGGAUAACAUCUGAUGUCGUGAGUAGGACAAAGCAAGUAUGUUUGAGGAGUCCUGAUAGUGUAAUUCAAAUUCUAAAUUCUGCCUAAUGGGCUUGCAAAUAUUGGGUGAGGCCUAUUGUGUGGAUGGGCUUUAUGUCAACAUCUAAGAUGAUUGGUUCUGCCUUUUCUUCUCUUUCUUUUUCUUUUUUUAAUUUUUUUCUUUUCUUUGUCUCUUCCCUGUUCUAUUUUCUUUUCCUAUCUUUUGUACUCAAUUUCAUUUCUAAUGAAAUGAGUAGCAGUAUUCCCACCAUUUUGCUUUAAACAAAAAAAACUUACAAGAAUGCAGAAAUAAACAUCUCUUCAAAAAGAAUGAUAUUCUCAUUGAAACUAUUAUAAAAGAUAUUGUGUAUCCUCAUAUAUAUCUGAAAAGCAUCCAACCUUAACCACCAAAAGUUUCACCUAGGAGUCACAAAACAGCGGGUUUUACACCCAUUUCAAGUACAUUCUAAGCUUUCAUUAAACAGCACCAUUGUCCCCUCCUUCAUGGAGAUAUGAAAGAUACAAGUUAAGAGGAUAAGCAAGAAAGAGGAGAAAAAAAUAAGAGUGCUUAUAGGCAGGGAGGAAUGCUUGAAGCUAAGAGAUGACAAGAAAACUGCAUGAAGCCAGCACUAUCUCCAAGAUCUCCCUCAACCCACUCCACCCACCUACCUAGGGUUCUUUGUCGGCUGAAAUCUGAACUAGGUAGGACAUGGGAGUCAAAAGUGAUGGGGCAAGCCAAGACAUGGGAUGAUUCUUUCUGUUCCUUUUUUCAGGGUGAGAAUAAGUGAGACACGUGGCUGGCUUUUCCUUCAUAACCUAGCAUGAGAUAUGUGAUCCACCAGUCAAGCCAUAUCCCUAGUGUACUCUACCUGUGUCGAUGUUAUCAUAGCAUGUCCCAUCAGAACAUGGCAAUAAAAAUUAUCAUUGUCAUGUGACUCAUGUCUGCAUGACACAAUCCUCUUCUUCUUAUCUUGUAUAUACUAUGACAUGUUCAAUCUCACUUCACCCCAUUUGUUCCUUGAAGAACAGUCAAGAUCUAAAGCCUACUGCCAGCCCUAAAUCAAAGCAUUCACUGUGUACACAUGGACGCCCUUCUUUUUGUCCUAUUAUACGCUCUUCAAUUAAUGCAACUUCAAAACAGCUAGUAUGCCUGAUCUGAUUCCUAGCAAACAUAUCUUUCCAUAUUACGUAACGCUUUUGCAUAACUAUUCCUUUGAUUCUGUAUUAUAGUCUUAACAACUAGAAACCUUGGUUUGCAUAACCCAAUUUCUUACCCAGAUUCAUUUUCAGCUUUGCUGAGUUUAGAGUCCUUAAUAACAAGCCUUCUUUUUAUUAAACUGUCCAUCAUAUGGCCUACAUCUUGUAACCCUCUUCUAAUUCUACCUAGGGAUUACGUCAGUAAACCUCUCACUAGACAGAUAGCAACCAAUGCAGGUAAAAGUUUUCAAACUCUUGAGAAAAACCUACUAUGAGGACCUAAGAUGAUAACAAUAUUAAGCAAGACAAAUAAACUCAAUCAAAUUAAAUUUUAUCCAAAGAAGAAACUAUAUUGAAUUCUAAACCAUAAAUGUAUACAAACAAGCAUAAGCUAAAGACCCAUGCAAUGCACAAGAGUGCAUUAAAAAAGAGGGAAGAACUUUAAUUAGGAUGCCAGGGGCAUG